rnacentral:lncRNA from 1 species
GUCGCUUCUCUCCUUUCCACAAUAAAUUAAUCAACACGCCUCUGUGUCCUAUAGGUACAGUGCAUAGUCGUAUUUGUCAUCCAUUCAUAUGAUUAUUCAGAUUGAGUUAUUUUGGGAGAAAAACGAGAAAAAAGGCAUCCGGAUAUUGUCCCGUCAUUGGACAAAAUUUUAAGUCAGAUUAGACUUCCGGUUUGCGUUUUUCUGUAUACUUUGAACAUACAUAUACAAAGAAUAAAGUGUAUUUUCAGAAUUCUAUCUGCUAUCAUUUUCAAGUUUACUAUCCACGGCGGUCACAGAGUUUAUUAAAAUAGAGAGGGUCUGUAUACUAUAUCAAUGACCACCAUGGAUCGAUUAGUAAACUUAGAAUUGAAAGUAAAUACACUAUAUUUAUAUAUAGUAAUGAAUGUUCAUAAUAUACAGAUAAGCGCUAAAAAUAUUCAUGUGAACUUUUGAUACCUUUUCUGAAAUUCUUCAGUCAUUAAAUCUUUUACGAAAUUCAUUGAUUACAAAAAAAAGAAGAUGUGGUAUGAUUGCCAUGUUGAGACAACUCUCCACAAGAGACCAAUAUGACACAGAAAUUAACAACUACAGGUCACCGUACGACCUUCAACAACGAGCAAAGCCCAUACCGCAUACUCAGCUUCAAAAGGCCCCGAACUGACAAUGUAAAACAAUUCAAAC